GAUGAACGCUAGCGGCAGGCCUAAUACAUGCAAGUCGAACGAGAUUAAGAGGCUUGCUUCUUAUGAAAGUGGCGCACGGGUGCGUAACGCGUAUGCAACCUACAUUAAUCAGGGGGAUAGCCCGAAGAAAUGCGGAUUAAGACCGCAUAAAAACACAGGAUAGCAUUAUCCAAUGUUCAAAUAGUUAUAGGAUUAAGAUGGGCAUGCGUGUCAUGAGCUAGUUGGCGGGGUAACGGCCCACCAAGGCGACGAUGACUAGGGGAUCUGAGAGGAUGCCCCCCCACACUGGUACUGAGACCCGGACCAGACUCCUACGGGAGGCAGCAGUAAGGAAGAUUGAGCAAUGGAGGGAACUCUGAACCAGCCAUGCCGCGUGCAGGAAGACAGCCCUCUGGGUCGUAAACUGCUUUUAUUCGAGAAUAAACCUCUCUACGUGUAGGAAGCUGACGGUACCGAAGGAAUAAGGAUCGGCUAACUCCGUG
rnacentral:rRNA from 1 species